AAGACUCAACCGAUUACAACACAGACUGAAGCCUAAAAAUUUGGGGGAAAAGGAAAUUAAACAGUUUCAGGAUCUGUUAUUCCACGCGUGAUCUCAAAUUGAAGAUUAAAUCAUUGAAUGUAAUGGAAUUGAACCAUGAGUGGAUAAAUCCCCAAUGAUAAAGUAAUCUCUUGAUUUCAAUCACCAUCAUUUUCUCUCUCUAUGCAUUUUAAGAGUCGUGACUCACCCGUUUCUUUCUCCCCAAAGGACCCAGAUGAUGUGAAUGAAAGCAUGUACCAAAUUUUCUUCCCAAGUUUUUUGCAGUAGUUUGUGUGCCAGAGUGCGAGCUGCUCCGUGAUGUUGCCUUUCUGGGACCAAGUUGAGUCAAGGGAAGCUGUGAAGUAAUUCCGAAUUCCUUUGGAGAAAUUGCAGUUUAGAAGGAUGUGGUUGACAUCCUCAUCAAUCUCAUUGCAGAAGAUACAUCUUGUUGUUUGUAUCUGACAACCUCUCUUAUUGAAAUUGUCAAUUGUAGGAAUUUUGUUAUGAACCGCCAACCAUGCAAGGAGUUGAACUUUUGGAGUGUAGCUUGAUGCAAUCUGGUAUCUGAUAGAGUCGGAACAGUCACUUAGAAUAGGAGGAGAGCCAAUCAAGGAUAAUAUAUUAUCUAGUUAUGCUUUAAUCUCUUCAGAAGGGCUGUGCUUUAAAUCAAUGCAGCAGCUUCCAUUUUGAGUCAGUUCAAGAACUUUUGCAUCUUUCCUCACAGUAGACAUUUUUGUGUGUACAAUAGAAAAGAAUUUGACUCUUCCACGGGUCAAACCAAAAUUUAAUGCCCAUUCCAUCUCCUACCUCAAACCCAUGAAUUCCAUUGCAUUGCUCCAAGAUCAUUUUUUUACCUCUCCAGAAUCUCCUUCCAUGGGUGAAAUUGCUCAUCUUAGGAAAGAGAUCGUUCUUGUCAGAAUGGGUUUUGUGUUGGAUGAUUUUUCUCAACAGUGUAUCCUUCUCCUGGGAGUAUCAAUCUCCAGCUCCAUUUAGCAAGCAAUGCUUUGUUUGUUUCUUUGAGAUUUCUGAUUCCUAGUCCACAAAGUGCUUUAGGUUUGCUUGCUCCAUCCCAAGCAAUCCAAAAAAUUCUCUUCCUUUCUGUAGUUGCACCCCACAUAAAAUCUCUCAUGUAUUUGAUCGUCUUUUUUUUUUUCAAUUGAGACUGGCAUCUGGAUGAGUCACAUGAAGUAGAUUGGUAGGCUUGCUAGUGCACUGUUUAUAAGCUCAAUUCUGCCAGCUUUGGACAAGUUAUUCUUCCUCCAUUUUGCUAAUUUGACCUUAAACUUGUCUAGGAUUGCUUCCCAUACACUUGUCUGUUUUCUUGAGGCUCCAAGGGGCAUACCAAGAUAUUUGAUUGAUUCACUCUUAGCCCUGUAGUGGCUUCAUAAAUCUGCAGUACAAUGAGCAAAUUCUCAGCUUCUUCUUCUUUUGCAUCUAUGAAGAUGAGUGUAUCAUCUGCAAAAUGAAGAAGCAUAUGUACUUCUGGAAGAGCUUUGAAUCUAGAUAACAUAUGUAGUUCAUUUUCUUCUUUUAAUAGCCUUGUCAAAACUUCAGCUACUAGAAUGAAGAGGAAUGGGUAGAGGGAGUCUCGUUGUCUCAAGUCUUUGUGGUGUUUGAACUUGCUUGUUGAACUGCCUUUGACAAGUACUGAAGUCUGUGAUGAAAACAAGUACCAAUAUAUCUAAUUUCUCCAUUUUUCUCCAAAUCCAGCACCAUCCACGAGAGAGUCUAGACAGUUUCAAUUGACAUAUUCAAAGGCUUUCUCUAUGUCAAGUUUACAUAACAGACCAUGAAUCUUUGAUUUUAAUCUGGAUUCCAUUAACUUACCAGCAAUGAGUAUUCCAUCCUGAAUCUUCUUCCCUUGUAUAAAAGCCCCUUGAUGCUCAUUGAUCAAUUUAGCAAUCAACACUUUGAGUCUUGCUGCAAGGACUUUGGAUAUAGUUUUAUAUAUGCUUCCUACUAAGCUGUUGGGUCUGAAUUGCUGAGGGUAGCUUGCAUCUUCAUUCUCUGGGAUGAGAGUAAUGAACGCACAAUUUAUCCUCCAAUCUAAUUUUUCUUCCUCAAAGAAUUCAGUUACCACAGCUAUCACAUCUUGCUUGAUAAUUGGCCAAGCUGCUUUAAAAAACUCUAUAGGUUAGCCAUCUGGCCCUGGAGAUUUAUGCUUUCCACAUUUCUUUAUAGCUUUCUAUACUUCAACUUCACUGAAGGAUCUUUGUAACCAAGCUUGUUCUGUCUCAGAGAUCUUUGGGCAGUUGUCAUCAUGUAACCGGGGCCCCCAAGUAUGAUGUUCUGUAAAAAGGUUAGUGUAGUAAUCACUAUUUUUUAUUUUAAUCUCAGCUUGAUUGAAAUUAUCUUCACCUUGAAUCACCAAUUUAUGACUUGUGUUCUUCCUUUUCCUUCCAUUAGCUAUCUGAUACAAAUACUUUGUAUUUUUCUCACCAUCUUUAGCUGUGUGGUUUUUUCUCUUGCAAGCCAUUUUCUAUAAUCAUUAUAUCUUAGUUGUUUGAGCUUAAUUUUUUAUUGAGUUAUUUCAGUAUAGUAAAUUCAGCUAGAUUGAGUUGUCCAUCCUCAUCCUUUAUGUUUAGUUCAUCUAUCUUCUGAAUCAGCUACUCUUUCUUAGCUUGUUGUCCCCCAUAUGUUUAUCUGACCCAUCUCUUGAUAAAGAAUUUUAGAUUUUGAAGUUUUUAAGCUAAUAUGAAGCUGGAGGAGCCUUGAUAUGACAUAGCAGUCCACCAUAUGCCCAAAUUUUUCAGAAACGACUUGUUGCUUAGCCAGAAGAUUUCUAGUCUAAAUGGAGGAUUGAUAGUGUUUAGAUUACCAGUUGUGAGUAUCACAGGUGAGUGAUCUGACACAUUUCUUGAGAGUAGCACUUGUGCAGCACUAGGAUAUUUAGCUUCAAAGGCUGGAGGAAUUAGAAUUGUAUCCAGUCAACAAAGGAUAGGAUCAUGUUUCUCCAUGAAUUCAUUAAACAAUCUCAUAGCACUUGUGUAGAGGCUUCCACUUGCUGGUAAAUCAAUAAGAUCAUGUUUCUCCAUGAAUUCAUUAAACAAUCUCAUACCCAAUCUUGUUCCUCCAUUUUUGUUUCUUUCCCAGUAUCUUCUUACUGCAUUGAAAUCUCCAGCUAUGCACCAAGCUGGAGAGCACCAGCCAACUAAACUAUCCAUUUCUUCCCAGAAGUCCUUUGUCUCACCAGUAAGGCAAGAAGAGUAAACAUUAGUGAGAGUCCACUCAAAUCUGUCCUGCAUGUUAAUGAAUUUUUGGUUGAGUGUAUUUGCUGAGAAGCUUUCGUAUAUGCAUUCUAGCUUUUCUGAGUCCCAUAUUGUGAGCCUGCCCCUUCCAAGUCCUUCAGAAGGAAUGAAUUUCUAAUCAUUUUUGUCAUUACCCCGUAAAUGAUUCACACUCAAAUCUGUAACUCUCAUCAUCUUGGUUUCUUGGAUUACUACUGCAGCUGGUUUAAGUUUGUGAAUCAGACCCUUCAGAUUUUCCAUCUUGUCUAUAGCAUUGAGACCUCUGGCAUUCCAUGUCAGUAUUUGCAUAUCCAUUUGGAUUUCAUCCAUUGAUAACUUCUACUUCCCCAUCUUUUGCCUUUUAUGUUGAUUUAACCAAAAUUCUUUCAUGUCUUUCUAUAAUCUCUUCAAAAAUAUGUUGCACUGACCGUUUCUUUUUUGCCUGAUCUAAACCCAAAUUGCUACUCACUUCCAUAAGUAACUCAACUGUAUUGAAUAUGUUGUUUAGGUUAGAGUCAUUUGAGUAUUGAAAUUUUGACAGAUCAAUCACAAUUUUCCCAUACUGAAUAUGUGUUCCUUUGAUAAUUGCUGAAUAGUGUUAUGCACCAAUUGUUGAUUAAAGGGACUAAGUUCUUCCAUGCACUCUAUUCUCAGUGUUAUCUUUAAGUUCCAGCGAUGUUUCCGGCACUACAACAGUUGCAGUUUCUGGAACUAUUUCUAGCAAAGUUUCCGAUAUAAAAGUUGAAUCCGGAACUGAGAUAACUGAUACAGGGAUUACCGAUAAUUCCUGCGGAACUGGUACAGGUGAAACCGGUUCUUUUGUUCUGGAUUUAAACUAGUUACCAAAAUGAACUGCUACUUUACUUCUUACCCUUUUUUUAAAUUUGUGUACUGACAGUUUUUUUACCGUUACUGAAAAAAAAAUCUGACACCUGUCCGUUGAGUUAGACUACUGACUCGUUUUUCUGACUCAUUCAAAUUCAAAUUUUGAAUUUUGAACUUACCUUUUUCAAGUUUGUUGAGCAGACGGUGGUAUUCAGGUCACGGCGGAGAUGAUUUUUGCCUGAAAUUCGAUUCUCAUAUAAUUUCUAGGAGAUAAGCCACACCUUCGGUUUCAAUAUCAAUAACAGUUAGAAUCUUCAUUAGAUCACCGAAGAUGGAUAGCCUGCAAAUCUCAGGAUUUCCUAUACAUGUCUCUUUAUCUAUUUCAGCAAGGUUACGGAGCUUCUCACCAAUGGCUUUGAAAUUUGCAGAAAACCAAAGAUGUAGUGGAAGCCCUUUUAUUCCGACCCACCAUUUACAUUUUCUCAGCGCCUUUCUAGAGAAAAAGAGUCUAGGCAACUAUAAGGUUUGCCCACUCACUCGGUUACAUCUAGGAUGAUGCCUGUGCUGACUCGAGCGCCAAGUUCAUCCCUCAAAAGGACAUUAAUGUUAUUACAGUGAUCCAAAUCAUAGGAGUUUGUAGGAAUCUGUAAAGCAUGCAAGAUAGUAAUUAAAUUUGUUCAU